ACGUGAUCAAGUCUGGCGAGUCACGUGACGAGGAACUAGCAAUAACCAGGCCUUGGGGGAAAAAUUCUAACUGGUGGAGCUCCUGGUAACUGGCGCGAUGGGGUCUUAAGAUCGGAGGAUUGGAACCAUCUGAUUUUUACCUCUGAUACUUUAGUCUCGGGUUCUCUCCUGUGUUGGGAAAAUGAGUCCCCUCUCACCAUGUCCGGCUGGCGGCGACCCAGAUGCCAUGUGAUGGUCAUUUGAAGACAAGCCUGGCGGACAUCAGGUAGUGACCCCAUCACUGUGGCCAUUGUCACGUCUUCCUUGGUGGUGGGUGGGGGCAUCCGCAUUGUGCAUGGGGCAUUAGGGACCCAGGCAUACCAGUCCAGCUGGAGGAAGGAACUGUAACACUAGAACCCUGGUACUUAGGGUUUGAACUCCCGUCUCUCCCUCAGGCCUCCCAGGCACCAGACACUUGCCCUCAGGGACCUGUGCUUUCAGCUGUCCAUACCUGGCCCUGGUUGAUGGCUGCAUGCUGAGCAGUGCACGUGAAGAUGCACAUGGAACAUGUGAGGACAUCUGGAAAUUAUUGAGGCCAGGAUUCAGGACUGAGACCCCAGCAAUCCAAAGCAAGAGGCUGCACAGGCCACUGUUAGGACAUCUGCAGACUUUACCGUCAUGUGCAUCCACCAGCAAGUCAGCCGUCUGCCUGAGGAUGGCAUUACUGUGGUGAGUGCAGACAGCGGGAGGGCUGAACCAGGAAGGGGAACUGGGUGAAUAGAGGCUUCAGUUGUUUAAGUGGAGCAGAGGAUGGGGACACAGGAGGCAGCUUGAGAUGAAUUAAAUCCAAGAUGCCAUUAAUCGGGCUGGUCUCCAUCUUGUCUCUGUUACCAAAGGGGUCACUCCAGAGGUGGCACAGCUAUACUGGCCAGGCCUGGGGCAUCUGGGUGGAGGCCCCCAACUGAAACACAAUUCAGUUGUUUUUACCCAGGACUCACUUGCGUAUCUUACCAAUACAUCAAACUCCAUGUACCUAAAAUAAAACACCUCAUUUUUGCUGACUCUGGCUUGUUCUAACUUUACUGUUUCUGACAAUUACUCUGGUUUGUAAGCCUGUAUCAUGUUUGUGCCCCCUCGGCCAAGUUCCUUAUAUGUAAAGUAUCAUCAAGAUUUUGAGAACAUUUUUCUAAAGCAAACACAGGUCUUAUUUUGCCUUCUCCCUGGCAAUAUAUACUGAACUCCCUGUUUAAAAAUUACAGUAUUUAUUAAUUUUUUUUUUUUUUAAUCUAGAGACUGGGACUUGCUAUAUUGCCUACUCUGGUCUUGAACUUCUGGUCUUAAGCGAUCAUACUGCUUUGGCCACCCAAAGCACUGGGAUUACAGGUGUGAGCCACCACACCCAGCUCUGAAAACCACAGUAUUUUUAGGUUAGUACAGCACACCACCCCGUGGACUUACAGGUGUGGCAGAAGCUUGUACUGAUGGCUUUUCUCUGUCUUGUACCCAGGCACGCUGUGGCUACUGUUUCCUCUAGUAUGUUUUAGGUUUUUUCCUUUUCGUUCCUGUCAUUACCAUGCUAGCGUACAUCUCUAUCCACCUUACUGUUGGGCAGGUAUGAGUGGCUUGCUGGCUGCUCUUCCUUGCCUUUUGAUCUGUUCUUACUUAGCUGACUCCUCAGUUCGGGUAAAACAUUCUUCAUGAGUACUAGACUGUUCCAGGCUGUCUCAUGUGAUUUCAAACUCUAGUACCAGAUACUGUUCUCUGGUUGGCUUUUAUGGGCUAAAUACGAGAUCUGUUUUUCUGGUUAAAUACUAAAUCUAAGGUAGGAAUGCGGCCUGGGUUUUACUAAUAGUGUUCAAUCGCUACUGUGAGCACACUGCUAGACUGUCGGAUCUCAGAAUUUCAGAGGGUUCGUGUAGAAUGUUAAGUGACUAAACUUAAUUAAACUUAAUUAAAAUCAAUAUCUCAAGAUAUUGA